rnacentral:rRNA from 1 species
UACGUAGGUGGCGAGCGUUGUCCGGAUUUAUUGGGCGUAAAGGGAACGCAGGCGGUUUUUUAAGUCUGAUGUGAAAGCCUUCGGCUUAACCUAAGUAGUGCAUUGGAAACUGGAAGUCUUGAGUGCAGAAGAGGAGAGUGGAACUCCGUGUGUAGCGGUGAAAUGCGUAGAUAUAUGGAAGAACACCAGUGGCGAAAGCGGCUCUCUGGUCUGUAACUGACGCUGAGGUUCGAAAGCGUGGGUAGCAAACAGG